UGACUUUUUACAAAAAUGUUCGCUUUAAAAUAUUCUAUUUAUUUAGCUGUUUUGCUAAUAAGUGUUGAAAUGAUUAGUACAUCACCAGUUGUUAACUCAUUAUGUCCAAACAUUUGUACUUAUGAAUAUAAUCCACAAUGCGUUAUGCUAAACGAUGGAACAUUAGUGGAAUUUGCCAAUAGAUGUUUGUUAAAUGUGGAAUCUUGCAAGAGGUAUAUUGGUGUUAGAAAUGUUAAGGCAGGACAUUGUCCACAAAUAAUGUAAGAAUAAUGGAAUAUGGAGUUUUCUUGUAAUUGUUAAAUGUCUUCUUAAUAAAUGGUUUAAUUUUAGUUUGUUUUACAAAAUAGAAAGAAAUUCAUAUAAAAUCUAAAA